CAUGUGAUCGAUGUGAGAGCCGGCCUCUUGUUCCUCUCCUCUCAAGACACAGCGCUGCAUUUAUCCAUAUCCCCUAUAAAUAUAUACAUACAUGCUAUGGCGUUUAUAUCAAUCAAGUUCAGAGACAAGCCUCCUUGAGAUCGAUUUUAACUGGCGAGUCGUCUCAUUACGCGGAGAUAUAUAGCAAAGAUGAGCUCCACUGACGCUACCACCGCCGCCGCUGCCGGAGCCCCUUGCGCCAGUGAGCAGCUAAGGUCAUGGCCGGAGUUGGUCGGGCUGUCCAUCGAGGAGGCGAAGAAGGUGAUCCUCAAGGACAUGCCGGACGCCAGCAUCGUCGUCCUCCCGGCCGGCUCGGCGACCACCAGGGACUUGAGGCGCGACCGCGUCCGCAUCUUCGUCGACACCGUCGCCGAGAUCCCCCGCGUUGGCUAGAGACAAUGAUUCGUGAAAAGAUUAUGGAAUAACAAAUUGAUGGAAGAACAAAUGCAUGCAUGCUGAGCAUCAGCAUGACAUGGAUCGGUCGAUGUAUUUUGUGUUUAAUUUAUUGGAUCGAAGCUUGAAACCGAUCUGCAGAAACACGAUUUUAACGGAAGUUUUUGCAAACCCUAAAGCUCUAUCUCUUGAUGAAAAAAA